UGGGGAAUUUUGGACAAUGGGGGAAACCCUGAUCCAGCCAUCCCGCGUGUGCGAUGAAGGCCUUCGGGUUGUAAAGCACUUUUGGCAGGAAAGAAACGUCGCGGGUUAAUACCCCGCGAAACUGACGGUACCUGCAGAAUAAGCACCGGCUAACUACGUGCCAGCAGCCGCGGUAAUACGUAGGGUGCAAGCGUUAAUCGGAAUUACUGGGCGUAAAGCGUGCGCAGGCGGUUCGGAAAGAAAGAUGUGAAAUCCCAGAGCUUAACUUUGGAACUGCAUUUUUAACUACCGGGCUAGAGUGUGUCAGAGGGAGGUGGAAUUCCGCGUGUAGCAGUGAAAUGCGUAGAUAUGCGGAGGAACACCGAUGGCGAAGGCAGCCUCCUGGGAUAACACUGACGCUCAUGCACGAAAGCGUGGGGAGCAAACAGGAUUAGAUACCCUGGUAGUCCACGCCCUAAACGAUGUCAACUAGCUGUUGGGGGCCUUCGGGCCUUGGUAGCGCAGCUAACGCGUGAAGUUGACCGCCUGGGGAGUACGGUCGCAAGA
rnacentral:rRNA from 1 species